GACGAACGCUGGCGCGUGCCUAUACAUGCAAGUCGAACGCACGAAGUUGAAGAGCUUGCUCUUUACCAAGUGAGUGGCGGACGGGUGAGUAACACGUGGGUAACCUGCCCAUUAGAGGGGAUAACAUUCGGAAACGGAUGCUAAUACCGCAUAGUUUCAGGAAUCGCAUGAUUCUUGAAGGAAAAGGUGGCUUCGGCUACCACUAAUGGAUGGACCCGCGGCGUAUUAGCUAGUUGGUGAGGUAAUGGCUCACCAAGGCAAUGAUACGUAGCCGACCUGAGAGGGUGAUCGGCCACACUGGGACUGAGACACGGCCCAGACUCCUACGGGAGGCAGCAGUAGGGAAUCUUCCGCAAUGGACGAAAGUCUGACGGAGCAACGCCGCGUGAGUGAAGAAGGUUUUCGGAUCGUAAAACUCUGUUGUUAAAGAAGGACAAGGAUGAGAGUAACUGCUCAUCCCCUGACGGUAUUUAACCAGAAAGCCACGGCUAACUACGUGCCAGCAGCCGCGGUAAUACGUAGGUGGCAAGCGUUGUCCGGAUUUAUUGGGCGUAAAGCGAGCGCAGGCGGUUCUUUAAGUCUGAUGUGAAAGCCCCCGGCUCAACCGGGGAGGGUCAUUGGAAACUGGAGAACUUGAGCGCAGAAGAGGAGAGUGGAAUUCCACGUGUAGCGGUGAAAUGCGUAGAUAUGUGGAGGAACACCAGUGGCGAAGGCGACUCUCUGGUCUGUAACUGACGCUGAGGCUCGAAAGCGUGGGGAGCAAACAGG
rnacentral:rRNA from 1 species